UGGUUAAACAAGGAAGGGCGCACGGUGGAUGCCUUGGCACUAGGCGCCGAUGAAGGACGGGACGAACACCGAAAUGCUUCGGGGAGCUGUAAGUAUGCUUGGAUCCGGAGAUGUCCGAAUGGGGGAACCCCUUCUCCGUCAUGGGAGAAGAUCAUCUGCCCAAAGGAUUAAGCAGAUGAAGGCAGACCCGGCGAACUGAAACAUCUUAGUAGCCGGAGGAAGAGAAAGCAAACGCGAUUUCCUGAGUAGCGGCGAGCGAAACGGAAGCGAGCCCAAACCGGACGGCUAGCCCGUCCGGGGUUGUAGGACACGCCAUACGGAGUAAGAAAGGGGCAGUGUAGCGGAAGCGACUUGGAACGGUCCGCCACAGAAGGUAAGCGCCCUGUACGCGAAACACAGCCCUCUCCGGCGUGGAUCCUGAGUACGGCGGGUCACGAGCAACCCCGUCGGAAGCAGGGAGGCCCAUCUCCCAAGGCUAAAUACGACCUAGUGACCGAUAGUGAACCAGUACCGUGAGGGAAAGGUGAAAAGCACCCCGGGAGGGGAGUGAAAGAGAACCUGAAACCGUGUGCCUACAGGUGGUCAGAGCCCAUUCAAGGGUGAUGGCGUGCCUUUUGUAGAAUGAACCGGCGAGUGACGAUGGCGUGCGAGGUUAAGUUGAAGAGACGGAGCCGCAGCGAAAGCGAGUCUGAAAGGGGCGUAUGGAGUACGUCGUCGUCGACCCGAAACCGUGUGAUCUACCCAUGUCCAGGGUGAAGGUCGGGUAACACCGACUGGAGGCCCGAACCCACGUAAGUUGAAAAUUACGGGGAUGAGGGGUGGGUAGGGGUGAAAUGCCAAUCGAACACGGAGAUAGCUGGUUCUCCCCGAAAUAGCUUUAGGGCUAGCCUCGGAUGAGAGAGUCCUGGAGGUAGAGCACGGAUUGGAUGAGGGGUCCCCACAGGAUUACCGAGUUCAGUCAAACUCCGAAUGCCAGCGACUUGUUCUCCGGGAGUCAGACGGCGAGUGCUAAGAUCCGUCGUCAAGAGGGAAACAACCCAGACCACCGGCUAAGGUCCCCAAGUAUGGAUUAAGUGGGAAAGGAUGUGGCGUUGCUUAGACAACCAGGAUGUUGGCUUAGAAGCAGCCAUCAUUGAAAGAGUGCGUAAUAGCUCACUGGUCGAGUGACGCUGCGCCGAAAAUGUACCGGGGCUAAAUCCAUCACCGAAGCCGUGGCCCGGCGCUCAACACGUUGAGUGCCGGGGGUAGGGGAGCGUUCUGUGUGCGGGGAAGGUCGACCGAGAGGACGGCUGGAGCGCACAGAAGUGAGAAUGCCGGUAUGAGUAGCGAAAAGAAGGGUGAGAAUCCCUUCCGUCGAAAACCUAAGGUUUCCUGAGGAAGGUUCGUCCGCUCAGGGUUAGUCGGGACCUAAGCCGAGGCCGAAAGGCGUAGGCGAUGGAUAACUGGUGGAAAGUCCAGUACCACCGAUGGCUGUUGGACCGAAGGGGGGACGCAGAAAGGUAGGGCGAGCGUGCUGCUGGAGUAGCACGUCGAAGCGACCGAGGCUGUUGGGCAGGCAAAUCCGCCCAACGCGAAGGCUGAGGCGUGAGCGCGAGGGAAUUAAAGUACCGAAGUCCCUGAUCCUCCGCUGCCGAGAAAAGCCUCUAGGAAGGCCAUGGGUGCCCGUACCGCAAACCGACACAGGUAGGUGGGAUGAGAAUUCUAAGACGCGCGGGAUAACUCUCGUUAAGGAACUCGGCAAAAUGACCCCGUAACUUCGGGAGAAGGGGUGCUCUUGCGGGUGAUGAGCCCGCGGGAGCCGCAGUGACAAGGCCCAAGCGACUGUUUACCAAAAACACAGGUCUCUGCGAAGUCGAAAGACGAUGUAUAGGGGCUGACACCUGCCCGGUGCUGGAAGGUUAAGAGGAGGCGUUAGCCGAGAGGCGAAGCGUCGAAUUGAAGCCCCAGUAAACGGCGGCCGUAACUAUAACGGUCCUAAGGUAGCGAAAUUCCUUGUCGGGUAAGUUCCGACCCGCACGAAAGGUGCAACGACUUGGGCACUGUCUCAACGAGAGACCCGGUGAAAUUAUAUGACCUGUGAAGAUGCAGGUCCCCCGCGACUGGACGGAAAGACCCCAUGGAGCUUUACUGUAGCUUGAUAUUGGGUUUUGAUAUGGCUUGUACAGGAUAGGCAGGAGCCUAGGAAGCCGGAGCGCUAGCUUCGGCGGAGGCGCUGGUGGGAUACUGCCCUUGCGAUAUGAAAAUCCUAACCUCGAACCGUGAGCCGGUUCAGGGACAGUGUCUGGUAGGCAGUUUGACUGGGGCGGUCGCCUCCUAAAUGGUAACGGAGGCGCCCCAAGGUUCCCUCAGAAUGGUUGGAAAUCAUUCGCAGCGUGCAAAGGCAGAAGGGAGCUUGACUGCGAGACAUACAGGUCGAGCAGGGACGAAAGUCGGGCUUAGUGAUCCGGCGGCCCCGCAUGGAAGGGCCGUCGCUCAACGGAUAAAAGCUACCCUGGGGAUAACAGGCUAAUCUCCCCCAAGAGUCCACAUCGACGGGGAGGUUUGGCACCUCGAUGUCGGCUCAUCGCAUCCUGGGGCUGAAGUCGGUCCCAAGGGUUGGGCUGUUCGCCCAUUAAAGCGGUACGCGAGCUGGGUUCAGAACGUCGUGAGACAGUUCGGUCCCUAUCCGUCGCGGGCGCAGGAAAUUUGAGAGGAGCUGUCCUUAGUACGAGAGGACCGGGAUGGACACACCGCUGGUGUACCAGUUGUUCCGCCAGGAGCAUAGCUGGGUAGCUACGUGUGGAUCGGAUAAGUGCUGAAAGCAUCUAAGCACGAAGCCGACCUCAAGAUGAGAUUUCCCGCGAGACCCCUUAAAGACGAUAAGGUAGAUAGGUCUGGUGUGGACGCGUGGCGACACGUGGAGCUGACAGAUACUAAUCGGUCAAACGGUUUAUCCACCCAU
rnacentral:rRNA from 1 species